rnacentral:rRNA from 1 species
GGACCAAGGAGUCUAGCAUGUGCGCGAGUCAUUGGGACUCUAACGAAACCUAAAGGCGUAAUGAAAGUGAAGGCCCGCCCAGCGCGGGCCGAGGGAGGAUGGGCGUUCCCGAGGGAUCGCCCCGCACUCCCAGGGCGUCUCGUUCUCAUUGCGAGAAGAGGCGCACCAAGAGCGUACACGCUGGGACCCGAAAGAUGGUGAACUAUGCCUGGUCAGGACGAAGUCAGGGGAAACCCUGAUGGAGGUCCGUAGCGAUUCUGACGUGCAAAUCGAUCGUCGGAACUGGGUAUAGGGGCGAAAGACUAAUCGAACCAUCUAGUAGCUGGUUCCCUCCGAAGUUUCCCUCAGGAUAGCUGGCGCUCGCUUCUCGCGAGUCUCAUUCGGUAAAGCGAAUGAUUAGAGGCAUUGGGGUCGAAACGGCCUCAACCUAUUCUCAAACUUUAAAUGGGUGAGAUCUCCGGCUUGCUUGAACUGUGAAGCCGCGAGAUAUCGGAUCAGAGUGCCAAGUGGGCCACUUUUGGUAAGCAGAACUGGCGCUGUGGGAUGAACCAAACGCCGAGUUAAAGCGCCUAAAUCGACGCUUAUGGGAUACCAUGAAAGGCGUUGGUAACUUAAGACAGCAGGACGGUGGCCAUGGAAGUCGGA